UACGGAGGGUGCAAGCGUUAUCCGGAUUCACUGAGUUUAAAGGGUGCGUAGGCGGGCAGGUAAGUCAGUGGUGAAAUCCCCGAGCUUAACUCGGGAACUGCCAUUGAUACUAUCUGUCUUGAAUAUUGUGGAGGUAAGCGGAAUAUGUCAUGUAGCGGUGAAAUGCUUAGAUAUGACAUAGAACACCUAUUGCGAAGGCAGCUUACUACGCAUAUAUUGACGCUGAGGCACGAAAGCGUGGGGAUCAAACAGG
rnacentral:rRNA from 1 species